CAAGGAUACCUUUCCUUUUCUCACUUCACCGUUUCGGGCUUAAUUCUCAUCUACCUCCAAUCUGCAACUCCAAUUCCUUAAAUCCACCGUCCCCGUCGAACAUCUCCACCUUCUAAAUCUUGAUCAUCGAUCAAGGCUGUUUUGUUGCAAUUGUAGCGGAAGCCGGUGAAUCAGAAGAAGCCCUUGAUCUCAGACCAAUUUAGACCCGAUCCUUCAAUGUCCAUUACUACGCGGAGAGGAAUACCAGUUUGAAGAAUUUGUGCAAGUGGAUUCCCAACUUCGCUCCCCAGAAGCAGGAGGUCCAAAACAUCACAGCGCACUCGCAUUGGUACUGCAUUGCUCAGACUUGUUUGGUUUGCAAUAGCGAUCCUAAGCUUGAUGUCAACUAUUCUGUAAGUAAGCUUUAAAUUUGUCAAUGACAAAUGAUUACUGAGAAAAGUGUUGUUAAUAUAAAAAGACAAAUAUAUAUAAUCACACCUGUCCACCUACACUUGCGCACAUAAUCAAGCAGAAUGUGUAAGUGGAUCACAUUAUAUGCUGGAAGAAUUAACAUGACCUAAAAAUCUGGACUUUAAGUGGGUUAUUUUAUUCUAUCUGAUGUGCUACUGCUGGUCUUUGCAUAUUCUUCUUUCUCUUAUUUGCUUAUGCGCAAUGGCCCUCGAUUCCUGCAUGCACCACAAACAUCCUCUUCUCGUGCUUGAUUCGAUACCGGCCGUGGAAAACUGAAGUUAUCUUAAAGAAAGUAGUCAUUGCACUUGGCAAGAGUGUAGCUGAAAGUAUCAAAGAGUAAGGUUUGAGCUUCUUUUUCUUCUAAUAACCUGAAAUGGUUUAUUUCAGUUGUGAUUAUGGAUUUUGAGGGUCUGAUUAUUACAGAAGCUAUUUGAAGAGUAUAAGAAAUUAUAGAGGGAUUUUAUAGUAGGUUGGGAGAAGCCCAAUGUGUUUAUGAAUGUCCCUAUUUGACAUCCAACUAUAUUGUUCUGUUGUCAAAGCUUGCUGUUCUUUUUUAUCUUUUUCAUGUUGUAUACAUAAAUAUGCUACAAGGUGAUCUACUGAUCUACAAUGUGAUCUUUGAGUUGUCAAAGAAUGCAUCUAGGUCCUAGAUUUGGCCCAGUCUAAUCAUUAAGAGUCGAGGACCUUAGGUGGGGAUGCACACAAACAUGAUAGUUCAUAGGUCCUAGAUUUGGCCAAGUCGUAUUCGUUUGUACAUUUGGAAAUGAAGUUCAGAGUACAGCAUAGGAAUGGAGGUGUCAACAAGUGGUGACAUCUAUAGCUAUGAAAUCCUGCUAUUUGAGAUGUUGAUAGGCAAGAGAUUGAUAUAUGACGUAUUUAAAGACGGCCUGAACUUGCAUAAAUUUGUCAAAUAAGGCUUUGGCCUCCUUAUCCUAUUGGAUGGUGAUCAGAGCUGAGUCUUCUAGCCAUCCCAGCCAGCUUUUGAGCAAGCAGCACUUGGAGCCUAUUAUUGAAGAGGAGCUUUUGAACGAGCACAUGGACACUAUUGAAGAGGACAUGUAGAACAAGAAACUUUCAACUAUGUCAUUUUUUUUGUUUACUGAUAAUCUGAUAUUAGUGUGCUUUGUUUAGUGUACCUUUGAUUAACCAACAAGAUUCUACCA